UUUCUGUCUUUUCUCCUGUCAUCCAGAUGUUCAGAGGGAGAUGAUGCCACAUCUGGUCCAGCUGAUGGAAGGUCUUGAAGUUCUCUGACUGGCCUGGACUGAAGAUGGUCGUCUCACUGGAUUUAAGAUGCACAAUGAGGGACGUCUGCAGAGACUGAGAAAGAGUCUCACCACAUCCUGACAUGAGGAAAAAGACUUUAUUGAAGACUACAAUGAGAAAAACUAUCAGACAGCAGACGGCUGCAUUCAAGUCUGUAGCUGCUGAAUUCAUGGAUGAAUCAUCUGGCACUAGAGAGGAAGACUAUCAAACAUCCACGUCAGCUGAUGGAGGUCCAAGAGUCUCACCGAACAAACAACCUACAGAAUGAAGACCUCAAAUCUGAUUGGACGGCCUCCUAUUAAGCCACGUGUGAAC
ensembl:lncRNA